UACGUAGGGUGCAGGCGUUAAUCGGAAUUACUGGGCGUAAAGCGUGCGCAGGCGGCGCGUUAAGACAGGUGUGAAAGCCCCGAGCUUAACUUGGGAAUUGCGCUUGUGACUGGCGUGCUGGAGUGUGGCAGAGGGGGGUAGAAUUCCACGUGUAGCAGUGAAAUGCGUAGAGAUGUGGAGGAACACCGAUGGCGAAGGCAGCCCCCUGGGUCAAGAUUGACGCUCAUGCACGAAAGCGUGGGGAGCAAACAGG
rnacentral:rRNA from 1 species